rnacentral:rRNA from 1 species
GACGAACGCUGGCGGCGCGCUUAACACAUGCAAGUCGAACGGAAAGGGAUGGCUUUUGUCUUCUACUCGUGUUGCUGACGGACGGGUAAGUAACGCGUAACCUACCCUCGCUUCUGGGGUAGCUUCCAGUAACAAAGGCUUGUACCUGAUACAUACUCCUUCUUCACGGUAUCGGGUGGAAAUGUUCGGCGGCUGGGGCGAGACUGGGGGCAUAUCAGCUUGGUGGUGGGUUAGUGGAGUACCAAGGCGUUGAAGGGUAGCCGGACUGCGAGGGUGACCGGCAACAUUGGGACUGAGAUACGGCCCAGAAUCCUACGGGAGGCAGAAGUGGGGAAUAUUGCACAAUGGGCGGAAGCCUGAUGCAGCAACGCCGCGUGCGGGAUGACGGCCUUCGGGUUGUAAACCGCUUUCGCCUGUGACGAAGCGUGAGUGACGGUAAUGGGUAAAGAAGCACCGGCUAACUACGUG